GUGCAGCUACUUUGGCACUCUAGCUGGCGGUUCAUAUUCGGGUGGAACUGGCCGUUUGAACAGUCUUGAGAACUGUAUUCUCAUAUCCGUAGCCUAUCACUUGACUUCUAGGUAUUCAUUUUUUGAGUCUUUGUAUAUUCUAGACAUUAGCCCUGUCCUGUUCAGCUAUCAAGGUACUGCAAGUUCCAAACUCGCCCUCCCAGGGCGACCAGCUCAUAAUGACCUUCCGCCCUCAGUCUUAUCGCUCAGAUUUUGUGGGGUGAGUGAGCAGGCCCCGUAGCACUAACUCCUGGAACCAGAGUAUGUGGAACCACAUGAGAGUGAGCUCGAAAACUGUAAAACAGUUGGUUUUACAUCUAUGAUACAUCUUUUAGUAUGUUUAAGAGCUAAUCCCAUCCAUUUGUAAUUUUGAUAGUAAACUUUGGAUAAGAAUUUUUCCAGAAGAAACACUGACAUUUGCUUUGUGAUUGUGUGAGUGUCCGCUGAGAGAACAGAAUGUCAAGAGUUUCUGAACCAAACUGUGUUUUCAACUGUGCAAAAGAACAUAAAUUCCAGGAACCAAACUCACAUCAUCGGGAUUGGCAACCAGUUCAUCUGCGCUGAGCACACCUGUAGGCCUCCUGCUCUGAGCCUUUAGCUGGCGCUGCAUGAUCUGGAACAUGGACACGUCUGCUUUCCCUUCAUAUCUUACAAGUUCCACAGUCAGGACAAGAUAAAAUCAACAUACAACCUUGAAUUUCAGACAAUAAUUAUUUUUUACUACAUGACUAGAAUUUUUUAUAUUAUUAAAUAAUUCAGAAAUAUUAUACUUGAAUUAAAGUAAAAGCUUGCAUCGCAUGAGAAAGAAUCUUAUAUAUGGAUGGGGCACAUGACUGUUGGAGCAGCAGAGAGAGUGGGCGUGACUUCUGGACACCUUGAAGUGGAGGUUAUAUUACGUGGAAUAAGGCUGAACUGAAAAACAACAACAUGUCUUCCUGAGAGUAGUGGAGCUGUCGCGCAGUUCCCACCUGCUUCUCUCAGUCUUAAAAUGAAUAAAAUGAAUAGACUGUCCC
rnacentral:lncRNA from 1 species